UACGAAGGGGGCUAGCGUUGCUCGGAAUCACUGGGCGUAAAGCGCACGUAGGCGGAUUGCUAAGUCAGGGGUGAAAUCCUGGAGCUCAACUCCAGAACUGCCUUUGAUACUGAGGACCUUGAGUUCGGGAGAGGUGAGUGGAACUGCGAGUGUAGAGGUGAAAUUCGUAGAUAUUCGCAAGAACACCAGUGGCGAAGGCGGCUCACUGGCCCGAUACUGACGCUCAUGUGCGAAAGCG
rnacentral:rRNA from 1 species